UACGAAGGGGGCUAGCGUUGCUCGGAAUUACUGGGCGUAAAGCGCACGUAGGCGGAUUGUUAAGUCGGGGUGAAAUCCUGGAGCUCAACUCCAGAACUGCCUUCGAUACUGGCGAUCUCGAGUCCGGGAGAGGUGAGUGGAACUGCGAGUGUAGAGGUGAAAUUCGUAGAUAGUUCGCAAGAACACCAGUGGCGAAGGCG
rnacentral:rRNA from 1 species